AAUAAUCCCCACGUUUCUGUAUUGUGUUAUGUGACGAUAUUUCUUAAUUUUGUACUUUUCGGUAAAAGAGAACUUAGCUCUAGUAAUUGUUCCUGAAAAAAAAUAUACAUGUUGAUUAGUUUUCUGACUUCUUACCCAUAUUCGUUCAUUAACAUCAACUGCACGAUCGCUUCUUCUUCAUCCUGUGUCCGUUGCAUUUGACCUAUCAUCUCUUCGUCUUCUCUCUUAUGUGUCUGUUGCUUGUACUGCUGAAUUUCAAUUAAUGCUUUUUUAUGCGUCUUCUUCUGUAGAUGAACAAAUAGUUUAUUAGAUUUUAUUUUUGUUUUCAGCACUUUUAUUCUUAUUCUUCCUCAUAUCGACUUGGUCAUAAAUUAUCGAUUUGAAUCAUUGAUGCAUGUUAAAAUCAAAUCUUUUUUUUUAUAUAUUCAUAAUAUGUUUAUAUGAUUUUCUUUUUUUCUUUUUUUUUAAUAUUUGGAACAGGCAAGACCGACAGUCUUCUUCUUAUCUUUGGGAGCAAUAUUUGGCUGUUUUUUUUCAUUCAAGAACUUUAUCGUACCGUUACAGUACCGUACCUUGAUGAAAUCAGGAAGUUUGUUUUUUCCUGGUGGUAGCUGGGUAUUCCAAACCGAACUAUUUUCCAUUUUCUUUGUUUACCAUAACGUUUUUCUCUUUUGAUUGUUUUUCGUUUCAUGGUCAUGUUAUUCAUUCAAGAACUUUUUUGUAUCGCUGGAUACAGUACCUUGACGAAUCAGGAAUGUCUCUAUUCCUGGCGGUAGCUUGGUUUACCAGACCAGACCAUUGAUAUUUAUUAAUUUAUUUUUUUUUUCAUUUCUGGACCCAAGGUAUUCAUUAUUGUUUGAUGGCUUAUUUAUUAUUCAUUCAAGCACUAUGUGUAUCAAUGGAUACAGUACCUUGAUGAAUCAGGAAUGCUGCAUUCCUGGUGGUAGCUUGGUUUACCAGACCGCGCCAUUUUCGUUUUUUAUCGAUUCUUCGUUUCUUCGCGUUUUUUUUAUCAUUUCGUGGCAUAUUUAUUUCAUUUAUUAUUUAUUAUUCAUUCAAGAACUUUUUAGUAUCGUUAGAUACAGUACCUUGAUGAAUCAGGAAUGCUGUAUUCCUGGUGGUAGCUAGGUUUACCAAACCAUGCCAUUUUCGUUUUUCCGUUUUCUUUAGCAUAGUUUUUUUCAUAUUUCAUGUUUUAUAUUUCUUGGCAUAUUUAUUAAGCAUAUUAUUUAUUAUUCAUUCAAGAACUUGUUAGUAUCGUAAGAUACAGUACCUUGAUGAAUCAGGAAUAUUGUCAUUCCUGGUGGUAGCUUGGUUUACCAAACCUCUGAUACUCUGUACUUUGGCAAUGUGGGGAAAACAAAACUGUCCAAUUCCAUACUUUUCAUUUUCAAACAUCUCGUUUAAUAUAUUCUGCACAUUCAUUCUGGUGUGGCCAACACCUUGUCCAAUCAUUCAUUCUUGCAAACAAACAUAGGUAAAUAGAUAAAACUAUUGCCUGAUUUUUAGCUUUCCAAAUGGUACAGAAUUUGACGACUCGUCGACAAUGUAAUUUCAAUUAUAUGCCAUAUUUUUUUUUUUUUAGUUUCCGAUGCCAGAUUUAGUCUUUUUUGUAUAUUUUUAUCUCUAUCUUUCUUUAUCCAAUGGAUAUGGUGCACCUUGGUCCGAAUAAUGUUCAUAUGAAUUUGUAUUAAUUGUAUUAAUGGUUCUGUAUCAGCCUCUGGUUGUAUGUAUUUGUCCCUUUAUUCGUUGUUUUUUUUUAUUAUUAUUUUAUUUUAUUUUUUUGACUUGUCGUAUUCAAAUUAGAAGUAUUCAGCCCAUUAUCGACCUGCUGGAAUUUCGUUACGAUUUUUUUUUUGUAAUAGGGGUAAUUAAUUCAUUUUCGUUAAAAAAUUUCCCAUGGUAUAAACAUGCAUCAAUGUUCAUUAUUUCAUUCAUGUCUUUCUUGAAGAUUUUGGUAGUGUCUUUGUCAUUACUAUGUGAUCUAUUACCUAGGAGACUCGCUAUUAUGUUAUUAAGCGAUACUUUGCUUUAUCAUUUUUGUUAAAAAUAGAAUCUGCAAAUUGAUAGCGCGCUAAAAGCAGCAAUACGAUCGACCGGUGUACUCAUUCUCAAAAAAUACAUGUAUUACUCGUUUUCGUAUAUCUUAAACGUUUUAUUUUAUGUUAUUAUUCCUUAUUUUCAUGAUUUCCAUGUUGAUUGUGAGGAAAUUUCACAUGAUUUUCAUUUUAAACAACCUUUUAUAUUUUUUUUUGAUUUUCAUUUAGUUCAAUCAGAUGUAUUUUUACCUAUAUAUUACACAAACUUAAAAAUUCAAUGAAUCAAUGAUGAGGAAAAAAAACAAAAUGCGAAUCUAUUCUUGUUUGUUUUUACCACAUGUUUCUUCCCUAGGCAAAUUAAAAUCCAUUAUGUUUAUUGCAAACACACUUCUUCACUCCUUCUCUUGCACACGAAGGCAUUGACACCCAAAAAUUCUACAGCAACCGUAAUUGCUGCGACAACAGUAAGUGGCUUGUGACGAUAGAAAAUGUGCAUCUGCAAGCAAAACGAAAACGUUGUCGCGUCUCUUUCCUUAUCCGUGAUAGCCGAAAGAAGAGAAAACAAAUUUCCGCUUCAUUCCGUUUUCGACUUUCAGUGCUAUAGGAUACUGGAGAAAGAAACAUGGAAUGUCACAAUGUCACAUAGUCUUUAUUUGGGACAUGUAACUUACAGAAUGCUCGGAAGUUAACCAAGUCCUUCGAUGGGAUCCAGGCGUGCUCCGUGCAGUGGACCAUCACCAGGAUGGAGAAAUCCAUCUCUACCCGUACAACAAGGCCGGGGAUUCAGAGUGCAAGGGAAAAAACAUAUACAUAGAAAUUUAUGUAAAAUAAAUUUCAAUCAUUCUAAUCAAUUUCUAAGUGCUUUUAUUGUGUUUAGUUAUCAUUUUUUUUAUUUUAGAUACGAUUAAACGUUAGUGUGUUCAAUGGUAGUGUCAGUAAGGGAACGAAAAAGGAAAAAAAAUAAACGGUAAGUUUUUUUCUUCCUUAUUAUUACUUUUAAGUGUGGUGUUACCUUUAAAAUUUCAUAAAUGUUGAAACCAAGUUAUUUUAUCUUCGCUAGAUAUUUUUUUAAGUGUUAAACAUUAUUCCAGAUUCAAAAUUGGGACGUUUCGAACCAUUCAGUAUGAUUCCCCAUAUCUUAUCUUUUGUCAUGAAAAAUUACGUUGCCUGACAAACUAUUGAAUAUUGCUUCUCAUAUUUUUCAAAUAAUCAAUGUGCUUCUUUUGCUUCCAAUAUGCGUUUCUAGCGAAAGACCGUGAAGUUCUUUCAAGAUUGUGUCACUAUUUCCUGACACCUAAGCAUUCUCUCUGAAUUGGCAAAAUGGAUUUUUUUUUUUCAAUGUGACAUAACCUGUCCAAAUGUGGUAAAGGUUUUAUUUUUCUGAAUGCAAUAAGAUAAUUUGAAGUACCUAAAAUAUUCCUCAAGAUGUCUUUCAAAUUGUUAAACAAAUUACAACAUUUCAAAUUGGACUAUUUCGAUCCAAUCAAGAUAGUUUCCCAAAGUUUUUCUAUUGUAUGGACAAUUCGUUACCUGACAGAAAGUCUUUAUACCCAUUCAUGCAGUUAUUUGAAUGCAGUUCUGCUAAAUAAAAUCGCUAUUUAAACAUCAACAUUCUCUAGAUUUGUAUCCGUAUUUGCUUAUGCUAAUUAACCUUUGGAUUUUUUUCAAUUUAGUUUUCAUUGAAUCGUUUUAUAUCUGCCAAAUGCUGUGCUGUGUUUUCUUCUGAUUCUGCCAACGUUGUGGAAAUUCUUUAUUAUUAUAUUGUUGAUAUUGAGUAUUGAAUAGGAGCAACAUUUGUCUGAUCAAACCUGGAUAACAAUAUGAUAAUAUUGCAAUGAUCUGUUAAAAAAAUAAAAUUUUGAUUGGAAGCAAAUUGUUUAAAAUGUUAGUUUCCUUGAAUAUUUUUGUUCAAGGUUUCUUGCAUUCCCCAUGAUAAGUAUUUAAAUUAUUUUGUUUUAUUUUUCAAGGCUUUCAAAACUUUGCAUAAAUUUUCAUGAUAUUCCUGCAUUAUUUUUCAAUAAUUAACAAUAUCAUCUAGAUAAAUGAUGGUUCCUUGAUUUUAUUAUUUCCAGGAAUUCGACAUUUUUUUUUCAUGUAGCGUUUAAGGGAUUCCUGGUAACCUUGUUUCAUUUUUUUUCUGGAAAUUUUGCGAAAAAUUCUCAUAUCUGUUUUUUUUUAAAUCAUGCACUCGGAAAGUACAAACGUUUGAAUUUCCCUUUUGAUUUAAAUGAAGUUGUUUGUUAUGCAUUCUGGCAGGAAAUUGAUUGGCACAAAACUCAUCGAAAUACAAAAAUGUCUGCAAUUUAUCAUGAAAUCUAUCUAAUUUUGGAAUGCAGUGGAAAGCCAAUUGCAUUGAGAAAUGUUAUUAAACUGCUGCAGAAAUUGUAGAGAAAAACAAUAAUUGCUUGCUGUAUAAAUUGCAAAAAAGUUGCAAAAUCUGAAUUUGAAAUACUUUAUGUUUUUAAUUUAUGAAUUGGCAGAUUGCAGAUUUUUUUUCUGAUAUACAGUAAAAUAUAAAAAUGAAUAAAUUACUAAAAAAUCAUUCAUGAGAAUUGGAACUAAUUAUUACUCACCAAAAUGAAGAUAUUUCUUUUAAUAUUUUCCUCAGCCCCUCCUUCUAAACUCAAGAAAGAAAAAAAAAACAUUCAGAGUUAAUUGUGACACUUAUUUCUUGUCGCAUUCCAAGCACUUGCAGUAAUAAUUUUCUCUUACUAAUAAAACAAAUGUCUCUUCGAUUCUUUAGAUUUUUGAUCUACAGUCCAUUUUGCACAAAAAUAGUCAAAAACAACGUGUUAACGAAAUAUAUAUUUUUUUUCAAUUUUCCAAAAGUUUGCUGUUAUCCACUUUUAUAGUUCGUCUAAUUUCCACUUUGAAUCAUUUUGAUUAUUCGCUCGCACUACCUUUUUAUUUGCACGCACUAUCAUGUUUCCAAAUUUGCACAGUUUUGCACACCAAUAAAAGUUAAAACCAACUUGAAGAGUUUGGAAAAAAUGUUUCUUCGGUUUUUGAAAAGGUUUGUUCUAAAAAAGUUUAUUCACUUUACGAGUUCUUCUGAUACUUCAUCCUAACGUGUUUUAAUUAUUUGCACUACUGUUUGAUUUGCACGUUAACAGUUCUUUGAUUUGCACAGUUUUGCACCAGUCAGAAAUGACGCACCAAAUUUCAUCUAAAUCUGAAAUUCUUUUUCGCUGUCACCAACUGUAACGGGACCCCCCCGGAUCACUUUCCAAAAUUGCAACCGAACGCGUUUACUUAAAGAUAUGUCAUCAUCUAUAAAAAUUCUCCAACACUUCUUAAAACUACACUACUUUAUUUUCCGAAUAUAAAUAUUUUAAUUUCCACAGUGCACUGAAUUAGAAAUGAACAUCUACAAA